rnacentral:rRNA from 1 species
CCCUACGGGGGGCAGCAGUGAGGAAUAUUGGUCAAUGGCCGGAAGGCUGAACCAGCCAAGCCGCGUGAAGGACGAAGGUGCCAAGCAUUGUAAACUUCUUUUGUCAAGGGACAAAAUCAGGCUCGAGAGCCUGACCGAGGGUACUUGAAGAAAAAGCAUCGGCUAACUCCGUGCCAGCAGCCGCGGUAAUACGGAGGAUGCGAGCGUUAUCCGGAUUCACUGGGCGUAAAGGGAGCGCAGGCGGCACGGCAAGUCUGAUGUGAAAACCCGGGGCUCAACCCCGGGACUGCAUUGGAAACUGCCGG